rnacentral:lncRNA from 1 species
AAAUUAAAAAUAAAAUUUAUUAUUACUCAUAGUGAAUCCAUACUAACCAAUUUAUUAAAAAGAAAAACCCUAAACAAGACUGAAAGGCCGAAUCAAUCCAACCCGAAGCAUAUUCCGAAUGCUGCUUCUUUCUGUAUCUCUCUUUUUUCUCCUACGCCUCAUAACAUCCAUAAAUCCUAAAUUACCCUUAUUAAAUUUAUAAUAGAAAGAUAAAAAUACCCCUAAACCUCUUAGUUUUUUCAUUACAUGAUAACUUAAAACAUAAGAUGAUAACUUAAGACUGAUAUGUCUUGAAAUACAAAGCAACACAUGAUAUUUAGGUCUAAGGACACUUGGUCUUGUUGGCAUGGGUGGUCAUGUCAGUGUAGCAAGUCCCACAGAGCUCCCUAUUACCAGAAGUACCAGGUGGAACACACUUGCAUCUCACACAGCACGUCCCACAUGCUCUGUUGCACAAGUUUGGCCUUGAAUGAGCACCGCAUCUUCUUUUGCACAACCCUCCACAAUCU